rnacentral:rRNA from 1 species
GAUGAACGCUGGCGGCGUGCCUAAUACAUGCAAGUCGAGCGAAUGGAUUAAGAGCUUGCUCUUAUGAAGUUAGCGGCGGACGGGUGAGUAACACGUGGGUAACCUGCCCAUAAGACUGGGAUAACUCCGGGAAACCGGGGCUAAUACCGGAUAACAUUUUGAACCGCAUGGUUCGAAAUUGAAAGGCGGCUUCGGCUGUCACUUAUGGAUGGACCCGCGUCGCAUUAGCUAGUUGGUGAGGUAACGGCUCACCAAGGCAACGAUGCGUAGCCCACCUGAGAGGGGGAUCGGCCACACUGGGAGUGAGACACGGCCCAGACUCCUACGGGAGGCAGCAGUAGGGAAUCUUCCGCAAUGGACGAAAGUCUGACGGAGCAACGCCGCGUGAGUGAUGAAGGCUUUCGGGUCGUAAAACUCUGUUGUUAGGGAAGAACAAGUGCUAGUUGAAUAAGCUGGCACCUUGGCGGUACCUAACCAGAAAGCCACGGCUAACUACGUGCCAGCAGCCGCGGUAA